rnacentral:tRNA from 2 species
AGGGGAGUGGCUCAAUUGGUAGAGCGUCGGUCUCCAAAACCGGUGGUUGCGGGUUCGAGUCCUGCCUCCCCUGCCA